GCCAGACUCCUACGGGAGGCAGCAGUGGGGGAUAUUGCACAAUGGGGGGAACCCUGAUGCAGCGACGCCGCGUGGGUGAAGGAGCGUUUCGGCGCGUAAAGCCCUAUCAGCAGGGAAGAAGAAAUGACGGUACCUGAGUAAGAAGCACCGGCUAACUCCGUGCCAGCAGCCGCGGGAAUACGGAGGGUGCAAGCGUUACUCGGAAUCACUGGGCGUAAAGAGCGCGUAGGCGGGAUAGCAAGUCAGAUGUGAAAUGCCGGGGCUUAACCCCGGAACUGCUUUGGAAACUGAGCAGCUAGAGUGCAGGAGAGGUAAGUGGAAUUCCUAGUGUAGCGGUGAAAUGCGUAGAUAUUAGGAGGAACACCAGUGGCGAAGGCGGCUUACUGGACUGUAACUGACGUUGAGGCUCGAAAGCGUGGGGAGCAAACAGGAUUAGAUACCCCCGUA
rnacentral:rRNA from 1 species